UUGAACGCUGGCGGCAUGCCUUACACAUGCCAGUCGAACGGCAGCACGGGUGCUUGCCCCUGGUGGCGAGUGGCGAACGGGUGAGUAAUACAUCGGAACAUGUCCUGUAGUGGGGGAUAGCCCGGCGAAAGCCGGAUUAAUACCGCAUACGAUCCACGGAUGAAAGCGGGGGACCUUCGGGCCUCGCGCUAUAGGGUUGGCCGAUGGCUGAUUAGCUAGUUGGUGGGGUAAAGGCCUACCAAGGCGACGAUCAGUAGCUGGUCUGAGAGGACGACCAGCCACACUGGGACUGAGACACGGCCCAGACUCCUACGGGAGGCAGCAGUGGGGAAUUUUGGACAAUGGGCGAAAGCCUGAUCCAGCAAUGCCGCGUGUGUGAAGAAGGCCUUCGGGUUGUAAAGCACUUUUGUCCGGAAAGAAAUCCUUGGCUCUAAUACAGUCGGGGGAUGACGGUACCGGAAGAAUAAGCACCGGCUAACUACGUG
rnacentral:rRNA from 1 species